rnacentral:lncRNA from 1 species
GGGAGCUUAGGAAAAAGAACACGGACUCUGAAAUCGGACAGACCUGGGUUUGAAUCCAGACUCUGCCGCUGACUGGACUGACCAUAUAUUAUCCUGGAAGCUUUGGGCUUUCUGGAAGCUUACGUGCUCUGGGGCAGACGGCGUGAAAAUUGUGGCACUUGGAGAACGCACUCUCCACAAUAAGCCAUCACCUGUGCUGUUCCUGGCCUUGGAUUUCCAGGUUAACGCACAUUCUGUGAAGAGUUGAAAGCUCAAGAAAGAAUAACAAAGCUACUUCUCUCACAAAAUCCUCAUAUGCCAAUAUGGGAAAUGAACUCUCCAAGGGUUUUCACCAACCAUAUGUCUUCCUUUUUCCCUCUUGCUCUCAUUGUAUAAAAGAGCAUCUGAAUUUGUAUUAACGUUCUAAACUAACUCACUAAGCAACAACUCAUUUUUACCAGUUUUAUCCAAUCGUAAAUCACAGAAUCUACUGACAGUCACAGUCUCGACAUGCUAAAAUCGUCAUUUUAGCUGCUUCCCCAUCACCAGGGAGGCAGCAAGAAACACACCGUGACUCUCAGAUGCAAAAAGAAUCAGGACCCAAGUCAAGAGAGGAAGAUCAGUGUUUUCAAAUGCAAUCUAGCUCGUUCCAACGCCAUCAGCGAAACUCAAAGACACUGAAAUAUCAGGCGCGUGACUGAUAUUGUCUCUGAAGAGCCUCACAACUCAAUUGAAAAAUAAUUUUGGAAAGAUUAAUGCAAAAUUAACUUGUCUAUUUUGUGAU